AUUGAACGCUGGCGGCAGGCUUAACACAUGCAAGUCGAGCGGUAACAGAGAGAAGCUUGCUUUUCUGCUGACGAGCGGCGGACGGGUGAGUAAUGCCUAGGAAUCUGCCUAGUAGUGGGGAUAACUUGCCGAAAGGUAAGCUAAUACCGCAUACGUCCUACGGGAGAAAGGAGGGGACCUUCGGGCCUUUCGCUAUUAGAUGAGCCUAGGUCGGAUUAGUUAGUUGGUGAGGUAAUGGCUCACCAAGACCGCGAUCCGUAACUGGUCUGAGAGGAUGAUCAGUCACACUGGAACUGAGACACGGUCCAGACUCCUACGGGAGGCAGCAGUGGGGAAUAUUGGACAAUGGGGGGAACCCUGAUCCAGCCAUGCCGCGUGUGUGAAGAAGGUCUUAGGAUUGUAAAGCACUUUAAGUUGGGAGGAAGAGCAGUUAACUAAUAUUUGACUGUUUUGACGUUACCGACAGAAUAAGCACCGGCUAACUUCGUGCCAGCAGCCGCGGUAAGAC
rnacentral:rRNA from 1 species